UUCCUGGGUCAGACCAAGAAAGCAGCACUCAGCUGAGUGGCAACUGGCCAAGACCUGUUCACGCUGGGCAUGUCACCCCAAACGUGAGGUAUGAAACACAAAAUGGGAGGGCUCUGCAUCUUGUCUAUCCUUACAGCCAGGAAAUGAAAGCAUAGAAGAGUGGGAGAAAACAGAGCUGCACACAGAAAUAUUCCCACAGGCGUAAAAGAAGGGUAGUUGCUGAGUGGGGAGAAGUACUAGCUUCCUCAGGAGUCAUCCUUCAUGGUGGAUACCAUCCCUGCCAGGCACCCGUCUUCCAGGUGACCUGGUCCCAGAGCCCAGGAAAUACAAGUGUGGGAUGAGCCAUGGAAAAGAGACUCCCAUGGAGGAGCAAAAGAAGCACCAACGAAUGUUGAGUACCAGGAAGCAAAUGCUCCCUCACCUGCUGCUAACAGGAACAGCUGGGUGUGCAGGACUGUCAUCAGCCCCUGGAACACUACACAAGACUGACACGUUAUCUCUACCCUCAACAGGUUUAUCUUUGAGAGAGGCAACCAGACCGAUAAGGGUAUAGCCGUUGUAAACUGUAUACAACCUGGAUUCUCUGUCCUGCUUUGUGCCUGAAGCCCGCCACUAAGUUUUCUGGGCUUCGGUUUCCUCAUCUGUAAACGGAGACCCCUCACAGCUCAGAAGUUGUAAUGUACUUUCAGAUACAACUGGUGAGGAGCAAAGCUACAGACCAUCCUUUUCUCUUGGCUCAUGUGAGGGCUAGGCCUCCGUGGUGAUUUCUCCAAAGACCACAAAUGGCCAGGAUCUUCCAUCUCCCAUCUCUUGACCUGUCUCAGUUUGAUCACCUGGUCAGCCACAACUGUCACAUUAUUCUUCAGGACCUCAGUGCUCCAGUGACCUCAUCCUGCCAUCAUCAUCCCCAUGGAGGUGCAGGGUCCCUGCCCACUGCCCACCUUUCCAUCUGCCCCACAUGGCAAGGUCACCAGGGUGAACUGUGAAGGCCAUGGUUUCCAAGUCUCAUGGUAACACAGGUAGCUCCCAUUCGGAUGCCAAUGGUGCUUGGUCAAAAACCUGCUUACGGCUGGAUUCAAAUACAUGUCUACACAGAGCUACCAGUCCAGGGCAGAAGGUGAGAGGAGGAGCAAGGAAGGAAGGAGAGAAAUGCAAGAUAAGUACUGCCAUAAAAGUUUCUAGGGGAGAUCUCAGUCUGAGAGAUCUCACUUUAAAAAAAAAAAAAAAAUUGGGUGCCUGGGUGGCUGAUGGUUGCAUCUGCCUUUGGCUCAGAUCAUGGC